CCUCCUUCGAAAUAUCUUGGACUUCCUUUCACUGGCAGGAAACCAAUAAGGGCUGAUUGGUUAGUCCUACUACAAAAGAUUGAAGCUAGAUUGGCAAUGUGGAAAACUAAAUUUCUCUCCUUCGAAGGAAGACUGAUCCUAGUAAACUCGGGGACAGAAGUGCAAGGAGACUAGCUUGCAAAGUCAGUUGGAAAUCUGUGUAUCUUUUGAAAUCUGAUGGAGGCUUUGGGUUUACUGAUCUCAAGACCUUUAAUGAAUCUUUCUUGGCUAAAUGGGGAUGGCAGUACCUGGUAAAUGAAUCUGGCUUGUAGAGGAAGCAAAUCCUCAUGCCAUAUCACUGAAAAGCGAAACUCUCUCCUUCAUGGAAGCCACCAAAAUGGAGCUCUAGUAUUUGGAAGGAUGUUAUCAACUCUCCCCCUACUUUCUGGAAUAGAAAUCGAUAUAAAAUUGGGAAUGGACAUGACAUGCUUUUCUGAAAGGAUGUGAUGCGCCUUUGCAGAUCAUCUUUCUCAAUUUAUUUCGAAUCUAUCACAAAAAGAAUGGCCGAGUAACUGAUUUCUUCAAUGCCAGGAGCUCUUUUUGGAACUUCAAAAUACCUGCCAACCUGGGUGGGGAGGUCUCAGAUCAGGCUCGUCUUCUCACCUCUCUCUUGGCUACUGUCUUUUUGAACUUUGAUGCAGAUAAGGUGAUUUGGAAUGGGGAAGAUCAUGCCAAGUUCUCAACUACAGAUUUGUAUCUCUUCUCUAGUUCUAGAGGAAUCAGAUGCCGCCUUGUUGACACGCUUUGGAGUCUCUAUGUCCUUCGAAGACAAAGUAGUUUUUAUGGUUACUCUAGAGGAAAAGGCUCAACAUAAGAGAAAUAUUAGGAAGAAAAAUCAGUAAAAACUUGGUGUGUGCGCCCUUUGCCAUCACACAAUAGAGAAUGUGGAUCAUUUAUUCAUAGACUGCCCAUUCAUUAGAAGUCUUUGGAAGGCUAUUUGUUUGCUCUAUAAUGCGCCUCCCUCCUUUUCUUCCUUCAGCGAUCUGUGCACCACCUGGUUGAAGCAUUAUUUUUUCAAACCUGCUCAACCUAUCUUUCUUAUGUUGGUGGAGGCUGUUACUUGGGUUGUUUGAAAAGAAAGGAACUCGUGAUUUUUUCUCAACAAACAUUGUUCUCCAUCUACCUCGGCCAAUGAAGUGAUUCUCUUCAAAGACUGGGUGCAUCUUUGCAAGGAAAAACUCUCUUCUCAACAUGACAAGUUAUGGGUUAAGAUCAGAGGCCUAUCGCUCCAGCCAAUGGCAAACUGAGUGGUGUAUGAUUAUACCUCGUCUGUUUUUACUCAUCCCUUGGGUUUUGGCCAUAUUGCUUUUUUCAAUCUUAUGUUCUAUUUUUUUAUAUACACUUAUCUGUUGGGGAAGGAGGGUCAGCUCCGUUUUUGUAAUUUUGUUAUUGUUUUUGCUGUAUCGUCGUACCAGCAAUGAAGUCUUUGAGCUUUACUUUAA